AUUGAACGCUGGCGGCAGGCCUAACACAUGCAAGUCGAGCGGAUGAAGGGAGCUUGCUCCUGGCUUCAGCGGCGGACGGGUGAGUAAUGCCUAGGAAUCUGCCUGGUAGUGGGGGAUAACGUCCGGAAACGGGCGCUAAUACCGCAUACGUCCUGAGGGAGAAAGGGGGGGAUCUUCGGACCUCACGCUAUCAGAUGAGCCUAGGUCGGAUUAGCUAGUUGGUGGGGUAAAGGCCUACCAAGGCGACGAUCCGUAACUGGUCUGAGAGGAUGAUCGGUCACACUGGAACUGAGACACGGUCCAGACUCCUACGGGAGGCAGCAGUGGGGAAUAUUGGACAAUGGGCGAAAGCCUGACCGAGCCAUGCCGCGUGUGUGAAGAAGGUCUUCGGAUUGUAAAGCACUUUAAGUUGGGAGGAAGGGCAGUAAGUUAAUACCUUGCUGUUUUGACGGUACCAACAGAAUAAGCACCGGCUAACUUCGUG
rnacentral:rRNA from 1 species